rnacentral:lncRNA from 1 species
CAGAGAACAUUUAGGAGGGAACUGUAAGGAACAAAAACAUUUGCUGGGUGGGCAGAAGAGAGAGCCUGGGAGGAAAUAUCAGGGGCUGUGAACAAGAACCAGGGAGAAGAAACGUUCAGGGAGGAAACAGCAGUCACAAGUGACAGAGAUUGGUGAAGAAAGGCAGCUUGGAAUCUGUAUAAAUGAAAGAGAGAGAUAGAAUGGGUAAAAAUGAUUGAUGGAAGAAUUUUGACCUACUGGGUUUGAGCGCGAAAGCUCACCAGUUGACGGGAUGCUUGGGGAUUUGCAACCGCCUCAUCGCUGCCCCCUACCGGCGCAUAUUCAAAACGUCUCUGCGAAAAGCUGUUAUUACCUUCGGAGCCAACAGGGGCUGCUCGUUUACCCACAGACAGUCGGAAAAAAAUGGCCGCCGGAUCACAGAGAGCAAAAAGUACGUUCUCUUAAAGAAUUUCCAAGUUCUUCCCGCGGCCGUUCAGGAUGCUGCUUGCAGUUACCAACAUUAUUCCCCUGCACUGAGCUGACCUGAGCUUCCCUGCCUACCUCCUGUCACGGAUGUCACCUUCUUUCACCCCUGUCCUGUCAAGGUUUUUGCUUUAGAAUGCUAUAGACCAAAGACGGGCUAAUCAACAGUCUUACACACAAAUCCUUUCGUUCUACUUGGCUACAGGCAGGGCUAAUCUUCCGAAGAGGAAUCCCACUACUGCCUCCUUAUAAGGGAAAAACUCCUCUCAGAGGAACCCAGAACGCCCUGUGAUGACAGAGGUGAGGGGCCAGCGUGGCAGAAUGCACCACCCUGUCUCCUCGCUUGCUUCUCUCUCCGUCGGAUUGCCAAAAAGGGAACGGCACCUAGACGCCGAAAAGUAACUGAAGCAAAGGGAGUUUAAAGAACGCGCCCAGCCGCCUGGGUCUUGAACCCAGUGUUAAUGAGAGCAAAAACCUCUGCAUCCUCCACUGAGCUGUCCUUGAGCAUGUCUCAUAAUCAUGCUUCAUUUUAAAAACAGAAAUAAUUCAUUGCAUUUUGAACAAGGAUAACUGUCAGAAAAGAUCCUCUUUGAAUAAAACAGGUAUCUCCCCCAUGGCUGCUUCUGGGUCUGCCCUCUGCAACCACAUGGAAUAGGUCUGAUUCCGGUUCUUCAGGACAACUUUUCAAGAAUUAAAAAAUCACCUCCAAAUGAAUGCAUUUUUACAAAAUGAAAAUAGGUAGAGAUGCUAUUUUAAAAAAAAAAAAACUUUACCUUCUCACCAACCUUAAAAUAAGAAGCAAAAUAAUUUUGGUAUAUCUUUUUUUUUUUUUUUUUGAGACAGAGUCUUGCUCUGUCUCCCAGGCUGGAGUUCCGGGGAGCGAUCUCUGCUCACUGCAACCUCUGCCUCCCGGGUUCAAGCGCUUCACCUGCCUCAAGCCUCCCGAGUAGCUGGGAUUACAGGCACACACCAGCAUGCCCGGCUAAUUUUUGUAUCUCUUGUUUUUCACUAAAUGGAUCCCUGAAUUGGACCCAGAAUGACUUAGCUAUGGAUGUAAGAACUGCUUUUGAGUAGCUGCCUCCAUUAGCCCUGGGGUUCCUACUUCCUGAGUACCAUGACCUCUGGGAUAACUCAGCUUUGUGGAACUGAGGUGCAAUAGGCAGCAUAAUGACCCCCUCCCCAAAGAUAUCUAUGUGCUAACUAACCAAGGAAUGUGGACAGCCCCCUGAAGCUGGAAAAGGCAAGGAAAGGGAUUCUCUUCAAGAGUUUCCAGAAGGAAUGCAGCCCUCUUCACCAAUUUGGUACUUCUGAUCUCCAGAACUCUUAAAUAAUAAAUUUGGCCGCAUGUAGUGGCUCACACCUGUAAUUCCCAGCACUUUGAGAGGCCAAGGAAGGUGGAUUGCUUGAGCUCAGGAUUUGGAGACCAGCCUGCACAAAAUGGUGAAACCCUGUCUCUACAAAAAAUAUGAAAAUUAACCAUGUGUGGUAGUAUGUGCCUGUAGUCUCAGCUACCAGGGAGGCUGAGGUGGGAGGAUCACCUGAGCCCAGGAGGUUGAGGCUGCAGUGAGUUGUUAGUGUCCCACUGCAUUCCAGCCAAGGGGACAGAGUGAGACCCCAUCUCAAUAAUAAUAAUAAUAAAUUUAUGUUGUUUAAGCCUCUAAAUUUGUGGUAAUUUGAUACAGCAAAUUACCACAGAAUAGGAAAGUAAUACAUGGGGGGAAUCAAGCUCAGUCUGUAA